CAGUAGCCGCGGGAAUACCGAGGAUGCAAGCGUUAUCCGGAAUGAUUGGGCGUAAAGCGUCUGUAGGUGGCUUUUCAAGUCCGCCAUCAUAUCCCAAGGCUCAACCCUGGACAGGCGGUGGAAAACACCAAGCUGGAGUACGGUAGGGGCAGAGGGAAUUUCCGGUGGAGCGGUGAAAUGCGUUGAGAUCGGAAGGAACACCAACGGCGAAAGCACUCUGCUGGGCCGACACUGACACUGAGAGACGAAAGCUAGGGGAGCAAAUGGGAUUAGAUACCCCUGUAGUCCCUGUCUCUUAUAC
rnacentral:rRNA from 1 species